GGGGGCGUGGCUGUCUGCGCGCCUGCGCGCCGCAGGCCGACGGAGUCUAUCCUGCCCCGGCCGAACUGGGGUUAGGUCCGUGGUGGGAGCCGCUCCUCAGGCUCCGCCGCCAGCCGGGGCUCGGGCUGGGGCCCGGGCCCCCGGAGAUGGCCCUCCGGCCCUCAAAGGGCGACGGCUCCGCCGGCCGCUGGGACCGCGGCGCAGGGAAGGCAGACUUUAAUGCCAAAAGGAAAAAGAAGGUGGCAGAGAUACACCAGGCUCUGAACAGUGAUCCCAUCGACUUGGCUGCCCUCCGACGAAUGGCUAUCAGUGAGGGAGGGCUCCUGACUGAUGAGAUCAGGUGCCAAGUAUGGCCUAAGCUCCUCAACGUGAACACCAGUGAGCCACCGCCUGUGUCAAGGAAGGACCUUCGAGACAUGAGCAAGGACUACCAGCAAGUGCUGCUGGACGUCAGGCGAUCUCUUCGGCGCUUCCCCCCUGGCAUGCCGGACGAGCAGAGAGAAGGGCUCCAGGAAGAGCUAAUCGAUAUCAUCCUCCUCGUCCUGGAUCGCAACCCUCAGCUCCACUACUACCAGGGCUACCAUGACAUCGUGGUCACAUUUCUGCUGGUGGUGGGGGAGAGGCUGGCAACAUCCCUGGUAGAAAAAUUGUCUACCCACCACCUCAGGGAUUUCAUGGAUCCCACAAUGGACAACACCAAGCACAUCCUAAAUUAUCUGAUGCCCAUCAUUGACCAAGUGAGCCCAGAGCUCCACGACUUCAUGCAGAGUGCUGAGGUGGGGACCAUCUUUGCCCUCAGCUGGCUUAUCACCUGGUUUGGGCACGUCCUGAUGGACUUCAGGCACGUUGUGAGGUUAUACGACUUCUUCCUGGCCUGCCACCCACUUAUGCCCAUUUACUUUGCAGCUGUGGUAGAUCGUGCUGUACCGGGAGCAGGAAGUCCUGGACUGUGACUGUGACAUGGCCUCUGUCCACCACCUGUUGUCCCAGAUCCCUCAGGACCUGCCCUAUGAGACGCUCAUCAGCAGAGCAGGAGACCUCUUUGUUCAGUUUCCCCCUUCUGAACUUGCAAGGGAGGCAGCUGCUCAGCAGGAGGCUGAGAGAACGGCAGCCUCUACUUUCAAAGACUUUGAGCUGGCAUCAACUCAGCAGAGGCCAGACAUGGUGCUGCGGCAGCGGUUUCGGGGACUUCUGAGGCCUGAGGCUCGAACAAAAGAUGUCCUGACCAAACCAAGGACCAACCGCUUUGUGAAACUGGCAGUGAUGGGGCUGACGGUGGCCCUCGGAGCAGCAGCACUAGCAGUGGUGAAGAGCGCCCUGGAGUGGGCCCCUAAGUUCCAGCUGCAGCUGUUCCCCUAAACUCAGCUCAAGCAGCUACUCCCUCACCCAGGGCACCAAGCUCUCCCCAUUUCCAGAAGGAGGGUAAAGUUGCUGUGAUUAAAGGGUUUCUGUCAGGGGUGUUCUGUCUGCCACCCUUGGCAGCUUGUUUUUUGGCUUUGAUGGCUGGUGGCAGAGCUGCCUGACACUGGCUUGCCGGACCCGAGUGCUCUCUGCACCUCUCCUGUUGAAAAGUGGCUCUGGAGCACCUGGUUACCCAAGUCACUGCCUAAAAAGUUGGGCCCAGAGAUGCCCUCCUUAUAGCACCAUGUGUCUUGAGUAUCUUUAGACAAAGCAGGCAGGAUGGUCCAGCCUUGGGAUGAAAGUGAGGGGAGAAAACAUUAGCCUGGGAGCCAGCUGGACCCUCUUAAAAGCGGCCAUAUUAGCUGGUCAGAAUCAGAGAUAGACUCAAGCUGGGUUCUAAUUAAAUUUUUAUGAUCCCAGCCUAGAGCUCAUGUGCAGAGGAAUGUUAAUCACCAGGAUGAUGUUGCCCGUGUCUCCCUGUUCUUUCUCCUCUACAAGCCACAUGACAAAACCUACAAAGACAUUUUUAAUACUGUUUUUAUGAUUGUAUACUACACCUAACAUAGCAAGUAGUCUUCACUUUAAAAAAAAAAAUUACUUAUGUGUGUGUACAGGUGCCCACAGAGGCCAUAGGUGGGCUUCAGGUUUCCUGGAGCCUGUGUGGGUGCUGGGAUCUGAAUGCCAGGCCUCUGGUGAAGCAGCAGUAAGUGCUCUUAACUGCUGAGCCAUUUCUCCAGCCUCUUUCAUAGUUCCUUCAUGAGAGAAGCUGUCAGAGCAUUGAGUUUCUACUGGGCUAAGUUAUCCCUUUUUUGGAGGGGAAUAGAACCCAGGGCCUUGCACAUGGAAGCAAAAGUGUUCUACCACUGCGCUGCCCCAGCUUUGGUUUUUUUCGUUUUUGUCUUUUUCCAUUUUUAGUUUUGAGAUAGGGUCUACCUAAAUUAUCCAGGCUGGCCUUGAACUUUUGAUCCUCCUGCCAUGGCUCCCAAUUAUCCUGGAUGACAGGAUUGCACCUGAGAUACUCUCCCUGCUCAGUUUAGCCAAAGUUGUUUGUGAACACUCCCAGACCCCACGGUGCCACUUCCUGACUCGCUUUCCUUAUUUUCCUCUUCUUACCCACCUUGGCCUGUCUUUGUGUCGAUCUCUUCCGCUGCUGGUCUCAGGCUGGGAAUGUCCUUGGAAACUUGCCAGCACGUAGACAGGGUUUGGCAGGAACCGCACACCACCAGCCUCACUGUACCUGGGCUCCUCCAGGAGAGGUGUACAGGAUCCAUGGGAUCACUUGGUCUUCCUAGGAUGGCUUUGUUAAAAGUGAAGCCAGCUGUGUUUUAUAGCACCUGGCUUGAAAACAAAAGUGCCUUUCGCUGCUUUAGGGUGUGUAGUGGGAAGCUCGUUUCCUUCUUUCCUGGGCACUCUUCUCCAGUCCUGCCAUGUCCACACCCCACAUGUCCCCUGCCCAUCCCCUUGUCUCCUGUGCCCAUUGUAUGCAGUGGGACACUCUGCAUGCUGGGCAGCCAUGAAGCCAGAGUCUAUAGGAGGUGUCCUGGCAGAGUUACAUAAAGCACUUUAAGUCAAGCCGGAGUGGUAGGUAAGUCCUCUGCACAGGAGCCUUGCCUUGGGUGAGUGAUUCACUGGGAUCAUUCAGGACAAAGGAGAAGUUUCCAGGACCCAGAGUGAUGAGGUGACAAAUACUAUUGGGUCUACCCCGGAGCUUAUCAUCUAUCCUCUAGCCUGCUUGAAGACUGUAGGAGGCUUGCUGGCUGAGGGAAGGGCAUGAGCUCAGGGUCCAAGCCACUGUUCUGCAUCCAAGCAAGCAGGUGGCACUGGCUUGUGAGGAGCUGAAGAGUGGUCUGUGCCCAUAACAGGACUCCCCUGCCACUGAGAAGAAAGCAUUGUCAAUUUACCUUCAGGUAUUUACUCUGUAAAAAAUAUGUGUAGAUGUUUUGUACAGAGCCCUGUAUGAAAAUAAACACCCUUAUGUGAUUCCUAA